rnacentral:rRNA from 1 species
CCUACGGGUGGCAGCAGUGAGGAAUAUUGGUCAAUGGACGGAAGUCUGAACCAGCCAUGCCGCGUGCAGGAAGACGGCUCUAUGAGUUGUAAACUGCUUUUGUACAAGGGUAAACCUGAAUACGUGUAUUCAGCUGAAAGUACUGUACGAAUAAGGAUCGGCUAAACCCGUGCCAGCAGCCGCGGUAAUACGGAGGAUCCAAGCGUUAUCCGGAUUUUUUGGGUUUAAAGGGUGCGUAGGGGGAGUGAUAAGGUAGAGGUGAAAUGUCCGAGCGCAACUCGGGAACUGCCUCUAAUACUGGGGAGCUAGAGAGUAGGUGCGGUAGGCGGAAUGUAUGGUGUAGCGGUGAAAUGCUUAGAGAUCAUACAGAACACCGAUUGCGAAGGCAGCUUACCAAUCUAUAUCUGACGUUGAGGCACGAAAGCGUGGGGAGCGAACAGGAUUAGAUACCCUUGUAGUC